CAAGCAGUGGGAGCACGCUUAGGCGUGUGACUGCGUACCUUUUGUAUAAUGGGUCAGCGACUUAUAUUCUGUAGCAAGGUUAACCGAAUAGGGGAGCCGAAGGGAAACCGAGUCUUAACUGGGCGUUAAGUUGCAGGGUAUAGACCCGAAACCCGGUGAUCUAGCCAUGGGCAGGUUGAAGGUUGGGUAACACUAACUGGAGGACCGAACCGACUAAUGUUGAAAAAUUAGCGGAUGACUUGUGGCUGGGGGUGAAAGGCCAAUCAAACCGGGAGAUAGCUGGUUCUCCCCGAAAGCUAUUUAGGUAGCGCCUCGUGAAUUCAUCUCCGGGGGUAGAGCACUGUUUCGGCAAGGGGGUCAUCCCGACUUACCAACCCGAUGCAAACUGCGAAUACCGGAGAAUGUUAUCACGGGAGACACACGGCGGGUGCUAACGUCCGUCGUGAAGAGGGAAACAACCCAGACCGCCAGCUAAGGUCCCAAAGUCAUGGUUAAGUGGGAAACGAUGUGGGAAGGCCCAGACAGCCAGGAUGUUGGCUUAGAAGCAGCCAUCAUUUAAAGAAAGCGUAAUAGCUCACUGGUCGAGUCGGCCUGCGCGGAAGAUGUAACGGGGCUAAACCAUGCACCGAAGCUGCGGCAGCGACGCU
rnacentral:rRNA from 1 species